GUUGAAACACUGGUUCCCGUACGAUCAUCGAAGUAAAGCAACGUCGACCCUGGUCAGUAGCUAGAUGGGUGACCACGUGCGAAACCAUGUGCUUC